UGGCAGGGCAGUAUGAGAAGCUGAAAAGAACAUGAAAGUAUAUUUUUAAGUCCUACCUAAUGUCUGAAAAACUGAAUAUGGACACUGAAAAUGCAUCACCCACAAUGAAACUGUGCUACUUUGAGCUCUUGCACUGCAGAGAAGAGAGGUAUUAAUGGUGGUGGUUUCAGUGCUGACUGCUCUGCAAAUAUGAACUGAACUGAAAUCUCCAUAUUCAUUUCACAAAGAGAAGAAAACAAGCAGGAUCAGAGCCCAGAGGCUCAUCUCUGGAUAUUUACAACAGUGUAAAGCCAUUGAUUCCAGCACUCUAUGCAGGUGACCUCAUAAAUUGUGUGGUGAAGAAGUUUGUGCCUACAAAUGAAGGAAAUUUCAUUCACACUUGAUUAAUUGGAAUCUGGAGAGCAAGGGCAUAGAUGAGGAGAAAAGAUGAAGAUCAGAUUCCUGUGGAAAUAAAAUCCUAAAAGCUG